ACAGAGGUCCCAAGCGUUGUUCGGAUUCACUGGGCGUAAAGGGUGCGUAGGCGGUCGGGUAAGUCUGAUGUGAAAUCUCGCAGCUUAACUGCGAAACUGCAUUGGAUACUAUCCGGCUCGAGGAAUGGAGGGGAGACUGGAAUACUUGGUGUAGCAGUGAAAUGCGUAGAUAUCAAGUGGAACACCAGUGGCGAAGGCGAGUCUCUGGACAUUUCCUGACGCUGAGGCACGAAAGCCAGGGGAGCAAACGGGA
rnacentral:rRNA from 1 species